GAUGGCCCUCCCGACACCUUCGGACAGCACCCUCCCCGCGGAAGCCCGGGGACGAGGACGGCGACGGAGACUCGUUUGGACCCCGAGCCAAAGCGAGGCCCUGCGAGCCUGCUUUGAGCGGAACCCGUACCCGGGCAUCGCCACCAGAGAACGGCUGGCCCAGGCCAUCGGCAUUCCGGAGCCCAGGGUCCAGAUUUGGUUUCAGAAUGAGAGGUCACGCCAGCUGAGGCAGCACCGGCGGGAAUCUCGGCCCUGGCCCGGGAGACGCGGCCCGCCAGAAGGCCGGCGAAAGCGGACCGCCGUCACCGGAUCCCAGACCGCCCUGCUCCUCCGAGCCUUUGAGAAGGAUCGCUUUCCAGGCAUCGCCGCCCGGGAGGAGCUGGCCAGAGAGACGGGCCUCCCGGAGUCCAGGAUUCAGAUCUGGUUUCAGAAUCGAAGGGCCAGGCACCCGGGACAGGGUGGCAGGGCGCCCGCGCAGGCAGGCGGCCUGUGCAGCGCGGCCCCCGGCGGGGGUCACCCUGCUCCCUCGUGGGUCGCCUUCGCCCACACCGGCGCGUGGGGAACGGGGCUUCCCGCACCCCACGUGCCCUGCGCGCCUGGGGCUCUCCCACAGGGGGCUUUCGUGAGCCAGGCAGCGAGGGCCGCCCCCGCGCUGCAGCCCAGCCAGGCCGCGCCGGCAGAGGGGAUCUCCCAACCUGCCCCGGCGCGCGGGGAUUUCGCCUACGCCGCCCCGGCUCCUCCGGACGGGGCGCUCUCCCACCCUCAGGCUCCUCGGUGGCCUCCGCACCCGGGCAAAAGCCGGGAGGACCGGGACCCGCAGCGCGACGGCCUGCCGGGCCCCUGCGCGGUGGCACAGCCUGGGCCCGCUCAAGCGGGGCCGCAGGGCCAAGGGGUGCUUGCGCCACCCACGUCCCAGGGGAGUCCGUGGUGGGGCUGGGGCCGGGGUCCCCAGGUCGCCGGGGCGGCGUGGGAACCCCAAGCCGGGGCAGCUCCACCUCCCCAGCCCGCGCCCCCGGACGCCUCCGCGCGGCAGGGGCAGAUGCAAGGCAUCCCGGCGCCCUCCCAGGCGCUCCAGGAGCCGGCGCCCUGGUCUGCACUCCCCUGCGGCCUGCUGCUGGAUGAGCUCCUGGCGAGCCCGGAGUUUCUGCAGCAGGCGCAACCUCUCCUAGAAACGGAGGCCCCGGGGGAGCUGGAGGCCUCGGAAGAGGCCGCCUCGCUGGAAGCACCCCUCAGCGAGGAAGAAUACCGGGCUCUGCUGGAGGAGCUUU
rnacentral:lncRNA from 1 species